UUGCAGAGAGAGCAACAUUGGAAUUGAAAUACCAGAAACUGUACGAGCCACUGUAUUCAAAGGAAUAUUAGAAUAUGGAAAGAGAGGGUAGAGACGAUGGAGAAGAUGAGGGAGGAGAAGCAGGCAAAGAGAAGAGGGAACAUAGAGAAGAGAGCUAGCCAUAAGAAGAUGAGGAGGAUUGCAAAGAGGGAGAAGAAGCUCAUGAGGCCUGGAUUCGAAGGGAGAAAAGAAGGAUAUAUUGGUGSAAAAGGAGACUAAAAGGUGCCCAAGUUUAGCCCUUUUCUGGAUAUUUAUUGUUGUUCCUCAUAAUUAGAUGAUGUUUUUACUUGUGUUUUGCUUUAGACWUGGAAUUUCAACUGGGUUUUUGAUGAUGGGAGUUCAAUGUUAAUAGAAAUCAGUUUCGUUGAUUCUUUUUUGUAUAUUUCAUGUUGCUUCUUAUAAUUGAUUC